GGAGCGGGAAGUGAGGCCAUUCCCACCUGAGCGGUGUGCCUGAGGGAGAGGGGUUGCGUAACGGACAGCGUCUCAUGCACAAAAGUCAAUAGUUGUGUUGUAAUCAGGAUCACAGCACGUGAGGUUCCAGAAUCAAAUGUUGUGCAAGCACCUAGGAGCCUUGUAAAUAGAGGCUCCUUCCACCUGCAGCAGCCUCGCUGGGUCCCAGUCUCGGAGCAGCUCCUCAUCUUCUCCUGCUGUUCAGGGUCCAGCCGGCAUUCACCAUGCGGUGUCUCUGCUUCGUGCUCCUGACCUGCUUCAUCCUCUUUCCUCACUUUGGCCCAGCCUCCACCCAGCGCAUAGACUCAGAAGAGGAGUGCGAGCGGGUUGGUGCCCAGUGUAAAUGGUUUGCUUGCCCAGAAGAUCAUGAACGUCUUGGUUCCUGUUGGUUUGGGAUAAAGAAAUGCUGUCUGCGUGGAUGGUGGGCUGAAGGACAUGGGUGGACAAGGAGCCCAGAGAUUUAAAUAAAGGGCUGACUAUAACUCUGAAA